rnacentral:misc_RNA from 1 species
GAUGAAGAACGUAGCGAAAUGCGAUAAGUAAUGUGAAUUGCAGAAUUCAGUGAAUCAUCGAAUCUUUGAACGCACAUUGCGCCCUCGAGUAUUCUCGCGGGCAUGCCUGUCCGAGCGUCAUUUCAACCCUCAGGGCCCGCCUGCUUGCAGGCGCGGCGCUGGUGUUGGGGAUCGGCUACCCUGCCGUCCCCCAAAUACAGUGGCGGUCUCGCUGCAACCUCCCCUGCGUAGUAGCAACACUCGCAUGCGGAGCGCGGCGCGGCCACGCCGUAAAACCCCCGACUUUCUGAACGUUGACCUCGGAUCAGGUAGGAAUACCCGCUGAACUUAAGCAUAUCAAUAAGCGGAGGA